rnacentral:sRNA from 1 species
AUGUACCACCGUACACUCCGGUUCCUCCGCGCCGUCCGCACCCCCCUGACGGCUGCUCGCUACGUUUUGUUAGCC